UUAUUUCUGGUGUUUGAUUUUACUUAUUUCUGGUUAGAGCUGCAUAUUUUCACAUAUUAUUGACAAAAAUAUGUGUUUUGCAUCUUCUCUUUUGUCUGUUUUCUUUUUCCUUUUUCCUUUUUUGGUAGAUAAGUUUUGCUAUUUAUCUUAAAAUUGAAUGCUUAGUAGUUUGAUGAAUACUGAAGGAGAUGCAUUAUCUUUAACGCAGUGACCAUGAAAACAGAUUC
rnacentral:lncRNA from 1 species